GCAGGGGGGAGUUAUAUCACUGAGGAGGUGACAUUUGAGCUGCCCUGUGAAGGAUGAAAGAAAUUCACCAGGUGGGUGGAGGGCAUUCCUGGCAAGAGAACAGCGUGAGCAGAGCUCAAAGGCUUGGGAGUACAUAGCACAGAGAGGGUGGUAUGGGAAUGAAAGUGUUUGUGUGUGUGUGUGUGUGUGUGUGUGUGUGUAUGAGAGAGACAAAGAGGGACAGAGGCAGAGAGAGGCAGGCUUCUAUUUGUGUCCGCAGAUCUUUCCUUGGCCUUUGGCUCCCAGGGACACCCUUCCCAGAGCUCUUGGCCUAGCUCUGAACUCUAUGGGCCUCUCCCUGCUCCCCUCUGGGCUCGGAGCUUCUGCACUUCAGCCCCACAAGUGUUUCCCUGUUCCUGCAGCAGCUCCCCGCCUGGACUUUGUUCUUCCGAAGACUGCCCUAAGCUUGGCCUCCAGAAGGACACUUGAUCCCAUCCCAUGGCUGGCAGUGGCGCGCAGCCCUUGGAGCAGCUGCAAGGAUGGUGUUGACUCCAGAUGGAAAGUGUUUCGAGAAUUCUGACGUGACAUCAUCACGACAUUGCACUGACAGUAACUGAUCUGGGAGUGGCCAGGCAAAGGAAAGCACAAAUGUGAUGUUAAACACACAGAGGAGACCCCACAUCAGUUACUCAUACAGAUGCUGCCAAGGAUCCAGCUGUUUCCCACUGUGCAGACAAAUUCUCAGAGUCCAGGCAGUACCAUGUGACCAUCUCCUCUCUCCUCUGCCAUCUUGCCUACCAAUGGGAAGAACUCUUGCUGGGCUUUGCAAGGGAGCAGGUGCUGCUGCUCCCUGCUCCUUCCUAUCUCUUUUGGUCAAGAACGCAGACCAUGAACAUAACACCUUCGUUCUUGUUCCUUGGACCAGUCAUCCAGGGCACGUGGACCCUCCCAGUGGCACACUGUGCCAGCCCAAGGGCUACCACAGGCGACUUCAAAAUGAGCAGGUUCCUUGCAGGGAGAUGUGCAGUACAGCGUCACACCACCAGGGGGCGCUGCCCAGCUGGUAUCUUUCUCCUUCAUGCUCUGCCGGGUUUCUCAAGGAGGCUGGGAAGACAGAAUCAGGAGCCCUGGGAUGCAGUUUGCUUCCUGUUCCUGUACAUUCCAUCUUAUCCAACUAA
rnacentral:lncRNA from 1 species